rnacentral:sRNA from 1 species
GCGGAGGAAAAGAAACCAACAGGGAUUGCCCUAGUAACGGCGAGUGAAGCGGCAAUAGCUCAAAUUUGAAAUCUGGUCUCCUUUGGGGGCCCGAGUUGUAAUUUGCAGAGGGCGCUUUGGCGUCGGCAGCGGUCUAAGUUCCUUGGAACAGGACGUCACAGAGGGUGAGAAUCCCGUACGUGGUCGCCUGCCUUCGCCGUGUAAAGCCCCUUCGACGAGUCGAGUUGUUUGGGAAUGCAGCUCUAAAUGGGAGGUAAAUUUCUUCUAAAGCUAAAUACUGGCCAGAGACCGAUAGCGCACAAGUAGAGUGAUCGAAAGAUGAAAAGCACUUUGGAAAGAGAGUCAAACAGCACGUGAAAUUGUUGAAAGGGAAGCGCUUGCAGCCAGACGUGCCCGUGGUGGUUCUCCUCCGCGGGCAGGCCAGCAUCAGUUCGAGCGGUCGGAUAAAGGCCUCUGUCACGUAUCUACCUUCGGGUUGACCUUAUAGGGGAGGCGUAAUGCGAUCAGCUCGGACUGAGGUCCGCGCAUCUGCUAGGAUGCUGGCGUAAUGGCUGUAAGCGGCCCGUCUUGAAACACGGACCAAGGAGUCUAACAUCUAUGCGAGUGUUUGGGUGUCAAGCCCGGGCGCGCAAUGAAAGUGAACGGAGGUGGGAACCCUUUCUUGGGGUGCACCAUCGACCGAUCCUGAAGUCUUCGGAUGGAUUUGAGUAAGAGCAUAGCUGUUGGGACCCGAAAGAUGGUGAACUAUGCUUGAAUAGGGUGAAGCCAGAGGAAACUCUGGUGGAGGCUCGCAGCGGUUCUGACGUGCAAAUCGAUCGUCAAAUUUGGGCAUAGGGGCGAAAGACUAAUCG